rnacentral:rRNA from 1 species
AUUGAACGCUGGCGGCAGGCUUAACACAUGCAAGUCGAGCGGAGAUGAGGUGCUUGCACCUUAUCUUAGCGGCGGACGGGUGAGUAAUGCUUAGGAAUCUGCCUAUUAGUGGGGGACAACAUUCCGAAAGGAAUGCUAAUACCGCAUACGCCCUACGGGGGAAAGCAGGGGAUCUUCGGACCUUGCGCUAAUAGAUGAGCCUAAGUCGGAUUAGCUAGUUGGUGGGGUAAAGGCCUACCAAGGCGACGAUCUGUAGCGGGUCUGAGAGGAUGAUCCGCCACCCUGUUCCUGAGACACGGCCCAGACUCCUACGGGAGGCAGCAGCGGGGAAUAUUGGACAAUGGGCGGAAGCCUGAUCCAGCCAUGCCGCGUGUGUGAAGAAGGCCUUUUGGUUGUAAAGCACUUUAAGCGAGGAGGAGGCUACCUGGAUUAAUACUCUAGGAUAGUGGACGUUACUCGCAGAAUAAGCACCGGCUAACUCUGUGCCAGCCGCCGCAGUAAAAC